GGGGGGAGUAUGGUCGCAAAGGGUAUAAACAUUGAAAGGAAAUGGACGGACGCGCACCCACAAGGCCCGGGACCCUGCUGCUCAAUCUGAAUCAUCAGGGAGAAACUUACCCCUUCCCAGACAUAGUGAGGAUUGACAGACAGGUGUUGAGGGAGGGUUUACCCUCGACCUCACAUCUAAAUAUUGAGAGCUCUUUGGAGAUUCUAUGGGUGGUGGUGCAUGGCCGUUAGUAGUUGGUGGUUUAUCUUGUCAGGUUUAUUCCGGUAACGAACGAGACCUCAGCCUAAUAAAUAGAGAGGUAGACGUGCAAAUCUCUACCAACAUUUCUUGUUAGAGGGACUCCUGACAACUAAUUAAGUCAGCGGAAGCUUGAGGCAAAAACAGGUGUGUGAUGCCCUUAGAUGUUGUGGGCCGCACGCGCGCUACACUGAUGCAUGCAACGAGUUUUGAUUUGAGUUGGGAAUUCAUUCCUCAACUCAACCACCUUGGCCGAGAGGCCCGGGCACUCUUGUGAACCUGCAUCGUGACGGGGCUAGAUCUUUGCAAUUAUGGAUCUUCAACGAGGAAUGCCUAGUAGGCGUUGGUCAUCAGCCAGCGUCGAUUACGUCCCUGCCCUUUGUACACACCGCCCGUCGCUUCUACCGAUUGGACGCUGCGGUGAAGACCUGGGAUUGAGAAGGGGGGUUUGGAGGUUUUCGGAUUUCCAGCCCCUCGUCCCGAGAACUCGUCUGAACCCCAUCGUCUAGA
rnacentral:rRNA from 1 species